rnacentral:rRNA from 1 species
AGCAGCCGCGGUAAUUCCAGCUCCAAUAGCGUAUAUUAAAGUUGUUGCAGUUAAAAAGCUCGUAGUUGAAUUUCGGGAUCGAUACGUCGGUCGUGCUUCGGUACGUACUGGCGUCAUUGAUUUCUCCCUUCUGACGAACCAUGAUGUCAUUAACUUGGUGUCAUGGGAAACCAGGACUGUUACUUUGAAAAAAUUAGAGUGUUUAAAGCAGGCUCACGCUUGAAUACAUUAGCAUGGAAUAAUGAAAUAGGACGUUCGAUCCUAUUUUGUUGGUUUUAGGAUCAACGUAAUGAUUAAUAGGGAUAGUUGGGGGCAUUAGUAUUCAAUUGUCAGAGGUGAAAUUCUUGGAUUUAUUGAAGACUAACUACUGCGAAAGCAUUUGCCAAGGAUGUUUUCAUUAAUCAAGAACGAAAGUUAGGGGAUCGAAGACGAUCAGAUACCGUCGUAGUCUUAACCAUAAACUAUGCCGACUAGGGAUCGGAUGAUGU